GGUCUCGUAGCUCAGUUGGAUAGAGCACCAGAUUCCUAAUCUGGGGGUCACAGGUUCAAUUCCUGUCGAGGUCACCA
rnacentral:tRNA from 1 species